CAGAGGGUGCGAGCGUUAAUCGGAAUUACUGGGCGUAAAGCGUGCGUAGACGGUUAUUUAAGUCGGGUGUGAAAGCCCCGGGCUCAACCUGGGAAUUGCAUUCGAGACUGAAUAGCUAGGGUACGGUAGAGGGAAGCGGAAUUUCCGGUGUAGCGGUGAAAUGCGUAGAUACCGGAAGGAACAUCAGUGGCGAAAGCGGCUUCCUGGACCAGUACCGACGUUCAGGCACGAAAGCGUGGGGAGCAAACAGGAUUAGAUACCCUGGUAGUCCACGCCAUAAACGAUGAGGACUAGACGUUGGAGGGGUAAGCCUUUCAGUGUCGUAGCUAACGCGCUAAGUCCUCCGCCUGGGGAGUACGGCCGCAAGGUUG
rnacentral:rRNA from 1 species